AUUGAACGCUAGCGGGAUGCCUUACACAUGCAAGUCGAACGGAGUGGCGAACGGGUGAGUAAUGUAUCGGAACGUGCCCAGUAGCGGGGGAUAACUACGCGAAAGGGUAGCUAAUACCGCAUACUAUUGAGUGGGCCGAUGUGGGAGUGGCUAGUGGGUGGGGUAAAGGGUCACCAAGGCGAGGAGCCGUAGCUGGGUUGAGAGGACGACCAGCCAAACGGGGACUGAGACACGGCCCAGACGCCUACGGGAGGCAGCAGUGGGGAAUGUGGGACAAUGGGGGAAAGCCUGAUCCAGCCAGCCCGCGUGUGUGAAGAAGGCCUUCGGGUGGUAAAGCACUGUGGGCAGGAAAGCGGUACCUGCAGAAUAAGCACCGGCUAACUACGUGCCAGCAGCCGCGGUAAUAC
rnacentral:rRNA from 1 species